UACGGAGGGUGCGAGCGUUGUCCGGAAUCACUGGGCGUAAAGGGCGCGUAGGUGGCGCGGGCAGUCAACGGUGAAAGUUCGGGGCUCAACCCUGAAUCGGCCGUCGAUACUCCCGUGCUUGAGCACCGUAGAGGCAGAUGGAAUUCCGGGUGUAGCGGUGGAAUGCGUAGAGAUCCGGAAGAACACCGGUGGCGAAGGCGGUCUGCUGGGCAGUAGCUGACACUGAGGAGCGAAAGCAUGGGGAGCGAACAGG
rnacentral:rRNA from 1 species